AUUUUCCACCAAUUUCUCUUCCCACUGUUUUUUCCAUAUGCUUUUUCCUCGAAAUCUCCUGUUUCCAGCCUUGCUCAUUCCAUGUUACACUUCUGUUUAAAUUACUCCAAUAGGAUGGAUGGAUGGAUUUCUGAGCCCCUUUAAAGGUCGCUCUGAGAGCCCACCAUUCCAUUUUUCAAGUCCAAUUCUCAUCCUUGCUUUUCCUGAUCCUGCCUUCCUUACCAGUUCAUCUUCCUCCUCCUCCACUUCCAUACCCUUUCCUCACAAAAUCUCAGUUUUCAGUCUGUUUCAUUCCAACCUUUUUUCUAUGUCAGUCACUCCUGCUACUUAUUUUUCUAAUCUUACCUGUCCAAGCCCAUUUUCUACUUUCUCCAAA